GACCGGGGCAUCGGGGCAUCUAUUUAUAUAGCACCGGUGGGCGAUAGAGGGACGGACGAGUGGCGCCGGAGGAGACUCGGCAACCGCGUGCCAUCAAUCCUGGAGGCAGACAGAGAACGGGCGGCCAUCGUGUCGUUUGAACGCGUGACAGUUGCCUGCAACGGGAUGCGGUGCGGGUGGCGCUCUCUCGGCCGGCGCGCCGCUUCAAUGCCGGUGCCAGUGAGCGGUUGCGUCUGCUCUGGCCGGGCAUGAAUGCGGGCGCCGACCCUUUGGAGUGGCGCUGACCAAAAACACGCGGGAGGCGGGAGGGUUUUUUGGUGGGCCAGGACGGUCAGCAACGAGCUUGAGAUCGGUCCGGACUCCCGCAAACCUACCCCACUUUCGUCUCUGGUUUACGGGAGAAAUCACGUUCGGACCACACCGCAGACCGAUACAAAUUGACAUUGGAUAGCUUCCGCGGUCCGGACUGUAGCAGGAGGUUUACGGAUCAGGGUUGGGAUGCUCUAAAUCUCUACUCCUAAUGGACGAGUUGGUUGAAUAGUCCCCCCACUUUCGUCUGGUUUUUUUUCGACUGGUUUUUUUUCAACCGGUUUUUUUAUCAUUCAGCCCGCACCCACGAGACGCUCCUCUCCUCCCUCUCCUAUGCGCUCGAUCCCCUCUCACGCCUAGGGUUCGUAGAGGUUGCGCUGCCACCGCUCGGCUCGGCCUCCUCCUUUCCUUCCCUCCCCCCACCUCCAGCCACACCCGUCCGACCACCUACCGGAUCCCGCACCGCCACGCCUGCAUCGCUCCGGUCUUCUCCCACAACUCACGCAUCGCAACGGCACUCGCGCCCGCGCGGUCUCCUCCAUGAUCUGUCUCCCUUGCGGCGGCGGCGGCACACAUGACGCAUCCGACGGCGAGCUGCACAGGUCAACGCAUCCUCUCUUCUCUCCCAUGGAAGUCCCUCCCCUCUCACAUCUCUCUCUCUGUCUGCGAGCGGUGGCGGCCGGCUGCGCGACAGGUCGAUCUGGUCACGCCUUCCCACCAUCGACCUCGCCGUCAUUGAAGCACGCCACCAUGCCGCCGCUCUUCUGUCUCUCCCUGCUCGCCUCCCGCGGCCAAGGAGCGCCCCAACCUCGCCAUGUCGCUCGUGUGGCUCCCAUGGUGCCGCCCCGCAUAGCUCCUUGCUGAGCGCUGCAGGUCAUGAUGCCCGCCGAUUUGAUCUGCACAGCCACUCAAUCCUCGGAACUCCCGAUCGACGACAACUCGACCGGGGGCUGGGGUGAGAAGACUUCGACAAUGCAGACGAGGAAGAUCACGUCGUGGACGAUUGCCUCAGCUAGGGUCCUUUGUUGUCAUGGCACCGUUGACCCUGUGCUGCGGGCCGGCGAGGUCGUUGAACUUGCCGAAGGCAUCACCAAGCUUCUAUCUCUAGAUCUGCACCAAUCCUUGUCAGAAAAUUGAGAAGUCAUGGCAUAGUCAAAUCUGAACAAGCCGUGUGGAGCUUCGCCAUGAGUCUGCGCAUGAAUUUGGGAAUGGAUGGAUGUCACUCCGAAGAAGUCAGAGAAUAUUUUCAAUGCGCAGCAGGACAAGAGAAAAGAAGAGAAGCAAAGAGAGGUGGGUUAUCGCUCCUACAUUGCUUACAUGAACAUCUUGAUUUUUUUAGAAAGAAGGCAUAGACCCGACAUUAAAUUAAUGUCACCCUGAAAAAUAGAAAAGGCAAAAGAAACACGAUACAAUGUACAUGGUGCUGUAGGACCAGCUUACAAGACAUGAAACAAACCAUGCAAUAUAAAAUAUAACAGAGUGGAUUUUCUACUCCCAGAUGCACCUACACCAUCCAUGAACAGUAAAUUUAAAAGAAAAUGAAAAACAGAAUAAAAAAAUAUGAAAUUUUGAGACAUGAAAUUAGAUCAGAAGUUUUAGCAUCUUGCAAAUUUUCACCACGAAAUAACAUUCAUGGUAAAAAAUGAGGCGUAAGUAGAUUCACUCAUUUUGCUUUGUAAGUAGUCCAUAUUGAAAUCUAUAUAAAGACUUCUAUUUAGGAACGGAGGGAGUACAAAAGAAACGCCUCUUGAUCGUCGAAGUCCUCAGCCACGAAGCGAAACACCAAUGAGGCGUAAGUAGAUGAUGAACACAUAGCAAGCACUGCGCAGGAGUGAGAUCACGUCAAGCAAUAUUGAUUUGUUUGAUUUGAUGAAUAUUCUACCAUUUGAAAUAAAUUUGAAUGUUAUUGUUUAUUAUUCUUAUGGAGUGUUUGGCAGUGUGAGAAUGUAGUAUAAGAGUACCUUAUCCGUUCAGCGGGGUGCUCCAACUUUUGAUGCUGGCGAAGCUUUUGCAAUGAUGGCUGCAUCCUCCAUCAUUUGUUAGUCUCCGUUGGAGGUUUAAUUAAACUGAAGUAAAUAUGCUAGAUUAUUUUGUCAAAUAAAAACAUGACUGCCUAUUUUGCUUGUCAGGACCAAGAUCUCUAGCUAUCAAUGAAAUUUUCAGAGUAGUUUUUGUUGCCUUUGUGUAACCCUGAUAGCAGCUUCUUGGAAGGUUCAGAUGUGUGGCAAAGGAUUUCAAUUUUCCUGUUUACACAAAGGAAACUCGAGGAAGGUUCAGAUUUCUCAUGCUUGGUUCUGUGCUCUCAGGGUUACAUAGACAAAAAUGCCUCCUAUUUACACAAAGGCAACUCGAGGAAGGUCCAGAUUUCUCAUGACUGCUUCUUCGGCAUUUCAUGCCUGUGCCAUCUUAUUAGAAAAUGUAGUUUGUUUUAUAGCUGAUGAUGCUUGAUGCUUUUAUCGAUUAGUAAAUGCUCAGCUUUAGCUCAUAAACUACAUGGCAAAAGCUACUUCCGAUGGGUCUGAUGCAAAUAAUUUUCAUCUUUAGACAUUCCUUUAGUUGAUUAUUUAAUCCUUUUAUAAGAAUCUAUUUAGCUUUGUAUUGUUGCAGUUUCAUUAUAUAUCCACUUACCAAUGCAUCUAAAGAUUCAACAAUGUAGAAUCCAGCAUCAGUCUUGGGACUACAAAUUGUUUCUUCAUUCCUCCGUGUUGCACUGUAGGUGAUAAGGGGUCGAGGUCGUAUGUUCGUCGUGGCAUCAAUACAGUAAUACACUUCACUUUCCUUUUCCUUUUCCCUUUUUCUGUUCUUGCAUUUAUUUCUUCUUCGCGGACCUCUCUGUCUACUGCUUUAAUAUGGUUCUGAUUGGUGCCCUGCAUCUUCCAAGAUAUAUGGAUUUUGGUCGAGGUAGUCAUCACAUAAGUAAAAUGCUAUCAACCUCUCAAUUUCUGAAUGGAUUUGUUAAAUUGCCUUUCUCUUGUUGGAUCACAUACCUGAUUUGUUUGUUGUCCUUGAAGCAAAUACCAUGACAUGAGCUUGAAGAUUUCAAAGAUACAGAAGGUUGACAGAAAGAGGAUACACUGAUUUCAGCUGCGGACAUUGAGCUGAGUCUCUCCCUAAUAGGUAACUCACCUUUCAACAUAUUCAUUGCAGAAGCAGAAACAAUGGGAUACAUGACCUGCAUACUUGCAUUCUGACAUGUUUUUGCCCAUGCCGUAAAAUUGGAAUGAUGUCCAUGCUGUUAACCUCUACAACUUACCCACACUUCAGAUAACCCAAGGUCUGGAACCCCAACAAUUUUAGUACGUAGCAAAUGUAACUUCUUCUCUAACAAAAAUAAUAAUGAGAGGCAUGUUACAGUUAGUUUUACCCUGAGAAUUGAUCAUCAUUCUGUAACCUUAAGACAAACAUAUAACUUGUGACAUAUUCAUGCAGAUGUGUGCUUUGCAAAUCGACUGACCUUUUUUGUCUUCUGUGAAUAGAUGUUGAAUGCUAAUAUAAAUCUGCAAUAUGUCUCAGCAAAAAUGUGGACUUCAUAAUUUGUCUUUCAAUGGUGCAUAGUUCAAUUUUUUCUUCCUAAUUUAUACAGUAUCAGCUCAUAUGCCGAUUUAUCUCAUAAAUAAGUAUUCACUCUUACAACACCACCAUGCAUGUUUUCUACACUUCUGCAGCAGUCCAUCUUUCAAUUUUGAUUUGCAUAACCAUGCAUAUAUAGUGUAUUGAAGCAGCAAAUGGCAUUUACCAUGCUGCUAAAAUAAGCAUCAAAAUUGAAGAGUGUAUUGAACCAGUGGGAGAAGUUAAUGUUCCACGGAAUUGCUAAUCCCGUCUCCAAGGUUUAAUGUUUGUUAUUGACCUAAGAGAAAAUGGGUUCUGCAUCUCUGAUGUGAUGUAUUUCUAACAAACAGUGGCAAAAUGCACGGGUAAUUACUCUUAUAUAGUUUGAUGCUUGAAAAGUUGUAGAGUCGGCGCCUCUCUUUGAAGUGUACAUGAUGUAAUAAGAACAAAAAAUAAAGAAGCAUCUUGAGUACCAUGCCCAGAUACAGUGUUAAUGCUCACAGCUCUAUUUUGUUCCAUUAGAAAUACAAUUAUAUUUUGUUACAUUCAGGUAGUGUUAUAUCAUGCACGUGUGUUACAGGUGUUUCUCUCUACUUUGUGCUCCAGAUUUGUUUCCCUACAAUAUGGCGGAUUAAUGUAUAUUCUUCUGAAGUCAUAGUACAUUCAUGGUCUGUAUAUAUGUUUGUAUGCUGCAAACCUGAGUCCGGUAGGCAGCGGCUGAUUUCUUCAUUUGCUAUCUUUAUAUUCUUCAAAGCAAUUUAAUUUCUUAUCUUGCACCUGUGAUGAACCUACAAUCUAGAGCACAAGGAAACUAUAGAUAAUUUGUUCUAUUGCCUCUGUGAACUUAAGUUAUGGCUUUUAAUAAAAGUAUUUAAACACCAUGUCUUUUAUAUGGAUGUCUACCUUUUCCAAAAGAAUUGAUAUUCUAUUUGGUGUAAUUCAGGAACAACUGAGCUAUCAAACAUAAUAUAGGAUGCAAAAAUAGAAGUGUAUGAGCAUGUAGUGUAUAAUUCGGGAGAUUAGGGGAAUGUAUUGACAAGUGACAAUCGUAUUUCCUUGCGUCCUCGAUGCUGCUUCCUUAGCUCACAUAGUAGUUCUUUUAAUACGUACCGUACUCAAUUUGAUUGGCAGGCUUCAGGUAAUUUGUGUUUGUGCGGUAACAUCAGCGGACCUGUACUGCUACGAAUUACAUCACGGACUAUGUGUUACUUUAUUAAUUGUAGUUUCUUUGUUCAGUUGGUUCUCUGGAAAAAACCACUUCUUCUCCCGAUGUAUAUGUUUUUUUUUGUGAAUUCCCGAUGUAUAUGUUUAAUACUAAUCUUCCAAAGAUUGUUGUAAGAAAUAACUAUAUUUACUAUCUUAUCUCAUCAGUGGGCUAAUUCUAUAAAAGAACUAAUAAGGAGAUUUCUUAGCAGUACUGUAUAUGUUUGGAGCAGUGAGAUAAUUUUAUCCUAUAUGACUUUCUUUCUCUUGCCUUUCCUGAUUUCGUUUUCCCCUCCAUUUUUUCAGGUUUCAAAGUUUGGCCGCAGCUAGCUUGAUUUGGAGACAUUUCCUGUUAGGAGUUAAACUUUGGUUUGGAGGCAUCGAGCUUUGGCUGUAACUAGCUUUGUUACUUGGUAUACCUCUGUCAGCAUUCAGGAGCCGGGUAGUUGUUGAGCGGGUUGUGGGAGAGGCGGUCGGCGAGCGCGGGCUAGACGGGAAGGUGAUGCUUGUGAUGGCGACCAUGCCGGCGGGCAGGGCAAGGUCGAUUGUGUCCAUCAUGGUGUUUCCGAGGGAGAGCGAGGCAUCUGCCAUCGCGCAUCUGAAGAAGUCGAUGCUCGGGGCGAGGUUGACCACCGUGGCCGGCGUGAAAGCGGACGGACUUAAAGGCCGGUGACAGGUUUGCUCUCGUCGCACCGUCUCUCAACUUGGCGGAGAGGCGAAAGGAGAGCGGUGGCACCAUGAAGACCUCGACGCCUGCUGCUGUGACCACGACCAGGCCAUUGUGUUUGUAAUAAAGAUACUAAUUGUAUACAUAUCCCCCAGCUUCAAAAACAUUAGAUAAAUAUCCAACUUAUUAUUGAAAAAUCUUGAUUCAAGAUAAAUGGAACCUUUCCUAUA